GGGGGCGGGCGGUCAGGCCCCGCGCAGCGUCUCCGGGCCUUAUAAGGGCUUCAAGUCAGCCCAGCCAUCUGGAAUGUGGCGGGGACCCGGGCGGAGGGAGGCGGGGCGGUGCUGGGACCUCCGCCACCCCCCGCCGGCCUCGGGAGGGCCCGCCCCACUCGUGGAUCUUGGGAGAGGAAGGUCCACCUAGGACGUGAGGCCCGAAGCCUGAAUUUCUGGGUCCUUCAAAAUCCCCUCGAAGCGGGAACUGCGGUGUCGGAAUCCAGGCCAGAGAUUGGUAGCCACACCUCCCACCACCCCUCGGAAGUCAGGAGGAGGUCAGGACUGGCCUACACUCUGGCGUUCUAGAAAGCGGGUACUGCCGGGUCCCAAGCAGGCAAGGAGGAAGAGCGCGAGCCACAGCUCCACAGAAGUGCCCCGAGGAAGGAGGUGGGUAGCGCAGGGACCGCGCGGAGGGGAGGGGUCCGUCGCCUUCCGCCAGGCAGCCGCCGCCUGAGGUCAGAACUCAGGAAUGCGCGGCCGGAGACAGCCGGAGAGAGAGGAAAUACCCCUUCGGCUUCUCCUGGCUGCUUCAGGACUCCCCCGGCCACGCCCAUCCCCUCUCGCCACCUCCACGCCAAACACCACACCCCGUCGCUCAAACUGAGAUUCGCGUCCCUAAACCCUAGCCUGCUCCACUGUCAGUAACCCAAGGACGCUGGCCUCAGCCUUGGCUUCUCUCUGGCUUAGGACACCAGCUUCCCAGUCCUCCCUUUUUGGCGUUUGGGGCCCAAAGUUCGAAUUUUGUCCCCAGAAUGGAGGGGUGGGGAGCGUGGAAGGCCAUUCUCUUUCCCAAACCCAAACUUCCAACUCCAAGCUCCUCCCCUCCUGAAGACCUUCUUGUACUAGAUAUCAACCCCCUUCAGCCAGGGCACAUAGGGGUCCCCAUCCCUCUCAGACCCAGGAGUCCAGACACCCACGUCCCUCCUCCAUCAGACCCAGGAGUCCAGACACCCACGUCCCUCCU